rnacentral:tRNA from 1 species
GGCAUGUGUGGCAUAGUGGUUUGUGUUGGACUGCGACUCUGGAGACCAGGGUUGGAUUCCCAUCUUGGCCA